AAAGGGGCUUCGGCUCCGAGUAAAGUGGCGCACGGGUGAGUAACACGUGGGUAACCUGCCUCUAAGAUUGGGAUAACUCGUCGAAAGAUGAGCUAAUACCGGAUAAGACCACAGUUCCCGCGGGAACAGGGGUCAAAGGUAGCCUCUGCUUGCAAGCUAUCACUUAGAGAUGGGCCUGCGCACCAUUAGCUAGUUGGUAGGGUAACGGCCUACCAAGGCAAAGAUGGUUAGCUGGUCUGAGAGGAUGAUCAGCCACACUGGAACUGAGACACGGUCCAGACUCCUACGGGAGGCAGCGGUGGGGAAUAUUGCGCAAUGGGCGAAAGCCUGACGCAGCAACGCCGCGUGAGUGAUGAAGGCCUUCGGG
rnacentral:rRNA from 1 species